rnacentral:rRNA from 1 species
AGAGAGAGACAUGCGCGCAUAUCAAUAAGCGGAGGAAAAGAAACUAACUAGGAUUCCCUCAGUAACGGCGAGUGAAGCGGGAAGAGCUCAAAUUUGAAAUCUUCAAGGUUCUACCUUGACGAAUUGUAGUUUAAAGAAGUGUUUUCUGUUGGAGUUUUGGUAAAAGUUCUUUGGAAUAGGACAUCAUAGAGGGUGAGAAUCCCGUAUUUGACCUUUACUUUCAACUUUGUGAUACACUUUCAAAGAGUCGGAUUGUUUGGGAAUGCAGUCCAAAAUGGGUGGUAAAUUUCAUCUAAAGCUAAAUACUUGGCGAGAGACCGAUAGCGAACAAGUACCGUGAGGGAAAGAUGAAAAGAACUUUGAAAAGAGAGUUAAACAGUACGUGAAAUUGUCAAAAGGGAAGCGUUUGACACCAGUGUUGUUUUUCUGAAAAUCAAUUAAAGAACUGUUUAUGCUAAGCUGUUUAGACUUUAUCAGCUAACUGUUUAGUUUUGAGCUUUUCUUUAAUGCACUUUUCAGUUAACAAGUCAACAUCAAUUUCUUUUGCUGUAAAAAAGCUUGAGGAAGGUGGCUUGAGAUUCGUCUUAAGUGUUUAUAGCCUCUUGCCUAUGCAGUCGGAGAGAUUGAGGUCUGCAGCGUAGAUCCUUCGGGGCUAAAUGCAUUUGUGCUAAGUUAUAGCAUUUUAUAGACAACUUGUUGACUAUGAUUUGUCUUGUAGCUUACUCGCUUAUGUUAUUUUACCUACGCUUAGGAUGUUGAUGUGAUACUGCGAGCA